GAGCGAGGGUGGAAAAGCUAGGGGGGAUGCGGAGGCGAGAGAAAGAGAGCGAGGAAAAUGGAAGGGGCGAGAAAGAAAUAGCUAUUUCUUUCUCGCCCCUUUCAUUUUUCCUCGCUCUCUUUGUCUCGCCUUCGUAUCCCCCCCCCCUAGCUUCUCUCGCCCUCC
rnacentral:snoRNA from 1 species